UAAUGAUAACAUUUACUACCAGCCCACUCACCGACUCGCUCUCUCAAACACACCUUCGCAGUGUCCGGACACUCGUCGAUGUUGAGGUCAUCACUGUCCAAUCGGAAGCCAGCGCCAACAGGAGGCCAAAUGUUGGUUGCUGCGCUCAAACUGGACAAACUGCCACUUGAGGAAAGCCAUGCUGCAGAGGUUAUCUCACCGCUGCACUUAAAGAGCUCAUAGAGAAAGAAUGUGUGACGUUAUCCGCUCUGCUGAUUGGCCGCUGGCCGCUGGCAUUGUCAACCGUUGAUAGGUACCACCAUCAUCUUAAAGUCACGCAACCAAACAAAAAGCUGCAGCUGCAUUGACUUGAACCUAAAUUUGCUUCCUGGACUUGAUGUCAGUGGAGGACCUGGUCAGCCGUCCUCUUGACAAAAGCUUUGGUCGUGCAGGCCAACUCUCUUCCUGCCCUGCGGCACUCCGGAUGUCAUUUGUCAUAAGCGGUACAAACAAAACGCAAACUAUGUGUCAUUACUUUCAAUGAUGCAGGGCUUUUUUUUAAAUGCAUAUCUUCUCAUUUACUCAAAUGCUUCGCUCAGUUCUGCCUUUUCUAUUCCUCUUUUGUGGUCACACCCAUUUCCUCCUGAUUUCUUUUUGAAGCCGCUCAGCGAGCUGUCGGCCAGUCGUCAAUGAAACAUGCCAAUGGCGCUCUCUUAUGGAUACAAGAGUCAUGUCAUGGUUUUGCAAUCCACGCAUACGAGAACAUGACGUUGCGGAAUAUAUUAGCAAUGAUCAAGCAUUUUUUUUCUGUACUUCAAUUCAAGUGGACCUCAUAUGCUAUAUUACUGUGUAUAAGAGAGCGAAAUAUUUCAUGAUUUUUUUCAUACAUUUAAAAACUAUAUGAAAUAUAUUAUUUCACUUAUUUUUAGAGUGUACUAGUGAAAUGCAGUGAAUAAACUAAAUAUAUAAUUUAUUGAGAUGCACUUAUUUAGAGCUUUAGGAGAGCCACUUCUCCAUGUUAAUAAUAAAUAGUAUGUGUUACAAUUGAA